rnacentral:rRNA from 1 species
UGUUGUUUGUUGUAGGGGCGCACGGUGGAUGCCUGGGCACAUUACGCCGAUGAAGGACGUGGAAGGCCGCGAUAGUCCUCGGGGAGUUGUCAAUCAAGCGUUGAUCCGAGGGUGUCCGAAUGGGGUAACCUUGCCGUAGUUGUGUGCGGUGACCUGCUGGUGAAUGUAUAGCCGGUGUGGGGGUGACGCGGGGAAGUGAAACAUCUUAGUACCUGUAGGAAGAGAAAAUAAUAAUGAUUCUGCGAGUAGUGGCGAGCGAAAGUGGAUGAUGGCUAAACCAUAUGCGUGUGAUACUUGCUAGGGGUUGCGUGUGUGGUGUUGUGGGGCCGUGGUGUUGGGUGGCUAGUGACGCCCUCCUGCGCGUGGUGUGUUAGCGGAAGUGGUUUGGAAUGGCCUGCCGUAGACGGUGAGAGUCCGGUACGUGAAAACGCAUUGUGUGUGGGGUGCUGUGGUGCCCGAGUAGCAGUGGGCUCGUGGAAUCUGCUGUGAAUCUGCCGGGACCACCCGGUAAGCCUGAAUACGUGAUGUGACCGAUAGUGGAUAGUACCGUGAGGGAAUGGUGAAAAGUACCCCGGGAGGGGAGUGAAAGAGUUCUUGAAACCGUGUGCCUACAAGCCGUCAGAGCCUUGCUUUGUGUGGGGUGAUGGCGUGCCUUUUGAAGAAUGAGCCUGCGAGUCAGCGGCGCGUCGCGAGGUUAACCCGUGUGGGGUAGUCGUAGGGAAACCGAGUCCUAAUGAGGGCGAUUGAGUGGCGUGUCCUGGACCCGAAGCGGGGUGAUCUACCCAUGGCCAGUGUGAAGCAUCGGUAAGACGUUGUGGAGGCGCGAACCCACGUAGGUUGAAAACUGCGGGGAUGAGUUGUGGGUAGGGGUGAAAGGCCAAUCAAACUCCGUGAUAGCUGGUUCUCCCCGAAAUGCAUUUAGGUGCAGCGUUGCGUGUUUCUUGUUGGAGGUAGAGCGACUGGAUGGUUUAGCGGGACUAUCAUCUUAGCGACAUCAGCCAAACUCCGAAUGCCAGCAAGGUGAGAGCGCGGCAGUGAGACUGCGGGGGAUAAGCUCCGUGGGUCGAGAGGGAAACAGCCCAGAUCGCCGGCUAAGGCCCCUAAGUGUGUACUAAGUGGAAAAGGAUGUGGGAUCGCGAAGACAACCAGGAGGUUGGCUUAGAAGCAGCCAUCCUUGAAAGAGUGCGUAAUAGCUCACUGGUCGAGUGGUUGUGCGCCGACAAUGUAGUGGGGCUGAAGUGCACCGCCGAAGCCGCGGAAACCAUGCUUGUUUGUGUGUGGUUUGGUAGGGGAGCGUCGUGUGCUCGUGGAAGCUGCUGGGUGACUGGUGGUGGAGGGUAUGCGAGUGAGAAUGCAGGCAUGAGUAGCGAAUGACAAGUGAGAAUCUUGUCCGCCGGAUGACUAAGGGUUCCUGGGUUAAGCUUUUCUUCCCAGGGUGAGUCGGGGCCUAAGGCGAGGCCGUCAGGCGUAGUCGAUGGAUAACGGGUUGAUAUUCCCGUACCCGUGCAUGCGCGCCCAUGGUGAAUCAGUGAUACUAACCGCCCUGAAGCACGCGUGAUGGUCUUUGGAUUGUUGUGUGUGUGGAUGCGUGGGGCCUGAUCUGGUAGUAGUCAAGUGAUGGGGUGACGCAGUGUGGUAGCCGAGCCACUGAGUGGAUUGUGGUGUAAGCGUGUAGCCCGGCAUCUAGGUAAAUCCGGAUGUCAUGAGGGGUGAGGCGUGAUGCGUACCCGUUGUGGGGAUGUUGGUGAUCCAUUGCUGUCGAGAAAAGCCUCUAGCGAUGUGUGUGUGCGGCCCGUACCCGAAACCGACACAGGUGGUCAGGUAGAGAAUACUAAGGCGACGGGUGAACUGUGGUUAAGGAAUUCGGCAAAAUGCCCCCGUAACUUCGGGAGAAGGGGGACCACUGCUGGUGACAGAGCCCCAGUAAACGGCGGUGGUAACUAUAACCAUCCUAAGGUAGCGAAAUUCCUUGUCGGGUAAGUUCCGACCUGCACGAAUGGCGUAACGACUUCUCUGCUGUCUCAACCACAGGCCCGGCGAAAUUGCAGUACGAGUAAAGAUGCUCGUUACGCGCGGCAGGACGAGAAGACCCCGGGACCUUCACUAUAGCUUGGUAUUGGUGUUUGGUUCGGUUUGUGUAGGAUAGGUGGGAGACUGUGAAGCGGCCACGCUAGUGGUGGUGGAGUCGUUGGUGAAAUACCACUCUGAUCGUAUUGAGCAUCUCAACCUCGGCCCAUGAUCUGGGUUAGGGACAGUGCCUGGUGGGUAGUUUAACUGGGGCGGUUGCCUCCUAAAUGGUAACGAGGUACCCCGGGGAUAACAGGCUGAUCUUCCCCAAGAGUCCAUAUCGACGGGAUGGUUUGGCACCUCGAUGUCGGCUCGUCGCAUCCUGGGGCUGGAGUAGGUCCCAAGGGUUGGGCUGUUCGCCCAUUAAAGCGGCACGCGAGCUGGGUUUAGAACGUCGUGAGACAGUUCGGUCUCUAUCCGCCGCGCGCGUGGAAACUUGAGAAAGGCUGUCCCUAGUACGAGAGGACCGGGACGGACGUACCUCUGGUGUGCCAGUUGUUCCGCCUGGGGCAGGGCUGGUUGGCUACGUACGGGAGGGAUAACCGCUGAAAGCAUCUAAGCGGGAAGCCUGUUUCAUGAUGAGGUUUCUUUUGAGGUUCCCCAGAGAUGAUGGGGUUGAUAGGCCGGAUCUGUAAGCAUUGUGAGGUGUUGAGGUGACCGGUACUAAUUGGCCGAACUAAACAACAAC